rnacentral:tmRNA from 1 species
GGGCUUGUACUGGUUUCGACGGGGGUUUUGAAGUUUGGGAAGCCAUCCGCGGGACGGGACCGCGUAACAAUCCGUAAUUAAAUAUAAACGCAGACGAAAAUUUAGCGUACGCUGCCUAGUGGCAGCAGUCGACCUUAAGUCACCCGCUGCUUAAGAGUUCGGCUUCGACCUUGCGGGGCACUUCGUUUCCAAAGCUUUGAGGAAAUGGAAGAAUUUAUGAAGCUACUAAAGCCGGAAGCCCGUCAUUAGGCGGCCGGCAGAGGGAAUGUUAAAAUAAUGACUGUGAUGGGAGAUGCCUGGAUGGACGGGCUUUCGGACAGGGGUUCGAUUCCCCUCAGGUCCA